rnacentral:rRNA from 1 species
UGAGGAAUCUUGCGCAAUGGGGGAAACCCUGACGCAGCAACGCCGCGUGAGUGAGGAAGGCCUUCGGGUCGUAAAGCUCUGUCAGAUGGGAAGAAAUGGAUGGGGGCUAAUAUCGUCCAUCUUUGACGGUACCAUCAGAGGAAGCACCGGCUAACUCCGUGCCAGCAGCCGCGGUAAUACGGGGGGUGCAAGCGUUGUUCGGAAUCAUUGGGCGUAAAGCGCGCGCAGGCGGCUUGGUAAGUCAGAUGUGAAAUCCCUGGGCUUAACCCAGGAAGUGCAUUUGAUACUGCCUCGCUAGAGUACGGGAGAGGAAAGUGGAAUUCCUGGUGUAGAGGUGAAAUUCGUAGAUAUCAGGAGGAACACCGGUGGCGAAGGCGACCUUCUGGCCCGAUACUGACGCUCAGGCGCGAAAGCGUGGGGAGCAAACAG